rnacentral:misc_RNA from 1 species
GAUAAGUGCUUGAAUACUUGA